rnacentral:rRNA from 1 species
CACGUAGGGUGCAAGCGUUAAUCGGAAUUACUGGGCGUAAAGCGUGCGCAGGCGGCUUUGCAAGACAGAUGUGAAAUCCCCGGGCUUAACCUGGGAACUGCAUUUGUGACUGCAUGGCUGGAGUGCGGCAGAGGGGGAUGGAAUUCCGCGUGUAGCAGUGAAAUGCGUAGAUAUGCGGAGGAACACCGAUGGCGAAGGCAAUCCCCUGGGCCUGCACUGACGCUCAUGCACGAAAGCGUG